rnacentral:rRNA from 1 species
UACGUAGGGGGCAAGCGUUGUCCGGAAUCAUUGGGCGUAAAGCGCGUGUAGGCGGCCAGAAAAGUCCGCUGUGAAAACUCGAGGCUCAACUUCGAGCUGUCGGUGGAAACUUUCUGGCUAGAGUCCGGAAGAGGAGAAUGGAAUUCCCGGUGUAGAGGUGAAAUUCGUAGAUAUCGGGAGGAACACCGGUGGCGAAGGCGGCGACCUGGGUAGAUACUGACGCUGAUGUGCGAAAGCGUGGGGAGCAAACAGG